UACGGGGGGAGCAAGCGUUGUUCGGAUUUACUGGGCGUAAAGGGCGCGUAGGCGGUCGUGACAAGUCACUUGUGAAAUCUCCGGGCUUAACUCGGAACGGUCAAGUGAUACUGUCGGACUAGAGUGCAGAAGGGGCAACUGGAAUUCUCGGUGUAGCGGUGAAAUGCGUAGAUAUCGAGAGGAACACCUGCGGCGAAGGCGGGUUGCUGGGCUGACACUGACGCUGAAGUGCGAAAGCUAGGGGAGCGAACGGG
rnacentral:rRNA from 1 species